rfam:Haemonchus contortus, ISE/inbred ISE, WGS project CAVP01000000 data, contig: Hcontortus_31654
GGCGCAGACUUGAAGUAGAGUACAUUAGUAUAGUCAGAUGGUCGUUCUAAUCUACUCUGCUUCAAAUUUGGGCCC